UUAUGGCCAUAUCACGUUGAAACACUGGUUCUAGUUUGAUCACUGAAGUUUAACCAUGUCAAGCCUGGUCAGUACUGAGAUGGGUGACAGCUUGGGAAUACUAGGUGCUGUAAG